GAGCUUAUCGUCUAAAGGAUAAGACUUUAACCUUCUAAGUUAAACAUAUAGGUUCGAUUCCUAUUAAGCUCA
rnacentral:tRNA from 3 species